GAUUCCGGCCUCAGGAAUAACGCAAGGGCAGGGCUAAUACANGGCAAGUCAGGGGGAGCAGCUCNGGAGCAAUACAGAGGCUGGCGACCGGCAAACGGGUGCGGAACACGUACGCAAUUUACCCAAAACUGGGGAAUAGCCUUCCGAAGGGAAGAUUAAUACACCGUAACCUAUUGAAGUGGCAUCACCUUANUAGUAUAGCUCCGGCGGUUUUGGAUGAGCGUGCGGCUGAUUAGAUAGUUGGCGGGGUAACGGCCCACCAAGUCUGCGAUCAGUAACUGGUGUGAGAGCACGACCAGUCACACGGGCACUGAGACACGGGCCCGACUCCUACGGGAGGCAGCAGUAAGGAAUAUUGGUCAAUGGACGCAAGUCUGAACCAGCCAUGCCGCGUGAAGGAUGAAGGUCCUCUGGAUUGUAAACUUCUUUUAUGGGGGACGAAACCUCUUUUUCUAAAGAGACUGACGGUACCCUAGGAAUAAGCACCGGCUAACUCCGUGCCAGCAGCCGCGGUAAUACGGAGGGUGCAAGCGUUAUCCGGAUUCACUGGGUUUAAAGGGUGCGUAGGAGGGCAGGUAAGUCAGUGGUGAAAUCUCCAAGCUUAACUUGGAAACUGCCGUUGAUACUAUCUGUCUUGAAUACCGUGGAGGUGAGCGGAAUAUGUCAUGUAGCGGUGAAAUGCUUAGAUAUGACAUAGAACACCAAUAGCGAAGGCAGCUCACUACACGAAUAUUGACUCUGAGGCACGAAAGCGUGGGGAUCAAACAGGAUUAGAUACCCUGGUAGUC
rnacentral:rRNA from 1 species